GAUGAACGCUGGCGGCGUGCCUAAUACAUGCAAGUCGAGCGAACAGACGAGGAGCUUGCUCCUCUGACGUUAGCGGCGGACGGGUGAGUAACACGUGGAUAACCUACCUAUAAGACUGGGAUAACUUCGGGAAACCGGAGCUAAUACCGUAUAACAUGUUGAACCGCAUGGUUCAACAGUGAAAGACGGUCUUGCUGUCACUUAUAGAUGGAUCCGCGCCGCAUUAGCUAGUUGGUAAGGUAACGGCUUACCAAGGCAACGAUGCGUAGCCGACCUGAGAGGGUGAUCGGCCACACUGGAACUGAGACACGGUCCAGACUCCUACGGGAGGCAGCAGUAGGGAAUCUUCCGCAAUGGGCGAAAGCCUGACGGAGCAACGCCGCGUGAGUGAAGAAGGUCUUCGGAUCGUAAAACUCUGUUAUUAGGGAAGAACAAAUGUGUAAGUAACUAUGCACGUCUUGACGGUACCUAAUCAGAAAGCCACGGCUAACUACGUC
rnacentral:rRNA from 1 species